GAGUUUGAUCCUGGCUCAGAACGAACGCUGGCGGCAUGCCUAACACAUGCAAGUCGAACGGGAUCCAGGCUUCGGUCUGGUGAGAGUGGCGGACGGGUGAGUAACGCGUGGGAACCUGCCCAAUGGUCUGGGAUAACCGCGGGAAACUGCGGCUAAUACCGGAUAAGCCCGAGAGGGGAAAGAUUUAUCGCCGAUGGAGGGGCCCGCGUCCGAUUAGGUAGUUGGUGAGGUAACGGCUCACCAAGCCUACGAUCGGUAGCUGGUCUGAGAGGAUGAUCAGCCACACUGGGACUGAGAUACGGCCCAGACUCCUACGGGAGGCAGCAGUGGGGAAUAUUGGACAAUGGGGGCAACCCUGAUCCAGCAAUGCCGCGUGAGUGAUGAAGGCCUUAGGGUUGUAAAGCUCUUUUGGCGGGGACGAUGAUGACGGUACUCGCAGAAUAAGCCCCGGCUAACUUCGUGCCAGCAGCCGCAGUAAC
rnacentral:rRNA from 1 species